UUUUGUUACAGGAUCAGUGAA
rnacentral:piRNA from 1 species